AUUGGUUUUUUUUUCUCUUGAUAUUUCUUUCAUCGCUAUUGAUUUUGUCUGAUACGGUGUUUUUGCUAUGAAAUGUGCGGCUCAUGCCGCUGAAAUGUUAAUGCCGUAUUAAUUGUUGAGCUCAUACACGAGCAGCAAUUUGUUUUUGUUAGAGAAAUGUUUCAUUUGGACGGUUGAUCGUUCGAUGAAACGAUAAUUUCCAGUUGAGCACGUGAUCACGUCGUUCCAAUUGAAAAUACGAAUAUAACAACCAAACACACGCGAUUUUGAAUUGCUGUAGUUAAACAUGAUAAAUGGAUGGAUGAAAUAUGACUGAAUAUGGGAAUGAAAAUGUUUGUGUGUAAAAAGAUGCACAACUUACCACAACAACGAAGGAAAUAAUAUGAUUUUUAAAAAAGAAACAAGCAAUAACGAAAAUGAGCUCGACAAAAACAAAAGUGCAUAAGCAAGCAAAGGAAGGUAAAUUUGAAUGAGAGAGGAGGGGAGGUGUCAAUCAGAAACGAAAGAAUUUCUUACUAAAAACAACCAAAUUUCUUUAAUCAAAUUAUUAUAUUAUUGUUUCUUAUUUUUCUCUUUGUAUUAACGAUAACUUGACUUUUAAUCAUAUAAAUUCAUUGUACAAUGAUUACAAUUUUGGAUCAUUUUUUUCAUUCACUGGUACUUAACUGGUAAAAAUUUGUUUUUUUUUUCUACACUGCAACCAAGAAUCUACUUUUUUA